rnacentral:misc_RNA from 1 species
GAUGAAGAACGUAGCGAAAUGCGAUAAGUAAUGUGAAUUGCAGAAUUCAGUGAAUCAUCGAAUCUUUGAACGCACAUUGCGCCCUCUGGUAUUCCGGGGGGCAUGCCUGUUCGAACGUCAUUAUAACCACUCAAGCUCUCGCUUGGUAUUGGGGCUCGCGGUUCCGCGGCCCCUAAAAUCAGUGGCGGUGCCUGUCGGCUCUACGCGUAGUAAUACUCCUCGCGAUUGAGUCCGGUAGGUCUACUUGCCAGCAACCCCCAAUUUUUACAGGUUGACCUCGGAUCAGGUAGGGAUACCCGCUGAACUUAAGCAUAUCAAUAAGCGGAGGA